CACCGCGGUUAUACGAGAGACCCAAGUUGAUAAAAUACGGCGUAAAGCGUGGUUAAAAGCCCCCACUAAACUAAGACUAAACCUUUCCAAAGCUGUUAUACGCACCCGGAAAUAUGAAACUCAACUACGAAAGUGGCCUUAAUUUCCCCUUGACCCCACGAAAGCUGCGAAA
rnacentral:rRNA from 1 species